CUGAAAAGUUAGAGAAAAUAUAAAUAAACAUACAAUUCUGGGAGGUAAAACAAGAGUUAAAGCAGAGACUGAAUUUAUUCUUUUAAUAAAAAAUCAAAAUGUUGCAAUGCGUUUGUGUUUGCGUAUGUGUAUUCAAAUUCUACGUUGUCUCAUAUUCGGGUUUAGUCGAAAGAUAUAUAUAUAUAUAUAUAAAGUGCCUAGAAAAUCAACCUACCGAUGUUAGAGUAGAUUUGAUUCGUAACUUCCUCCCCGGCGCCGGGGCUGGAACCUGUACUUUUUUUCUAACUUCUACGACAAGACCGCCUAGCAUUGUAUAUAUAUAUGUUUGUUAACAGUCAUAGAAUAAAAGAGGG
rnacentral:lncRNA from 1 species